rnacentral:rRNA from 1 species
AAUAUUGCACAAUGGGCGAAAGCCUGAUGCAGCAACGCCGCGUGAGUGAUGAAGGCCUUCGGGUUGUAAAGCUCUGUCUUCUGGGACGAUAAUGACGGUACCAGAGGAGGAAGCCACGGCUAACUACGUGCCAGCAGCCGCGGUAAUACGUAGGUGGCAAGCGUUGUCCGGAUUUACUGGGCGUAAAGAAUGCGUAGGCGGAUAUUUAAGUGAGAUGUGAAAUUCCCGGGCUUAACUUGGGAGCUGCAUUUCAAACUGGGUAUCUAGAGUGCGGGAGAGGAAAGUGGAAUUCCUAGUGUAGCGGUGAAAUGCGUAGAGAUUAGGAAGAACACCAGUGGCGAAGGCGACUUUCUGGACCGUAACCGACGCUGAGGCAUGAAAGCGUGGGGAGCAAACAGG